AUGGACUCGUGGCGCAGCAGAUCUUGGAUAAUACUGUGCUGCUGCAUCCUUCUGGCCACCAUAGUUUCAGAUGAGAAAUCUGCUGUCCACCGGCCCGUCAGUCCCCGGUGGGCGUUCUCUCAUUGGGUGCUGAUUGAAAGCUCCAGGGGAAAGAGGAGACGGUACAUCAAUGGCGUGUUGUAGUGUGGGGUGG